GCGGCCCUCGGGGGCGAAGGCCGGGGGUGGGAGGGGGAGAGGACCCCGCCGCCGUGACCCGCGUCAGCACCCGGGACCCGGGCCUGACCCCGGCUCCUGGGAAGGCGGCUCCCCCCAGGGGCACGAACGGAGGCACCGAGCAGCAGCUCAGGGCGUCCGCGACGCCGGGACCGCCUAGGGCCCGGGACCGCGGGCGGCUGACAGCCGCUGUCACCACAGCCGCCGCCCGGCGGUGCGGCGCAGCCCGCGGUCUCCUUCAGCUCGCCCGCCCGCCCGCGCUCCAGGCGGCCCGCGGCGCCCUCCCCGCUCCGCCCGGCUGCGGCCGCGGACACUACCUCUGGAAGCGGCCACCCGCACACUCGGCUGCCGCACCUCAGACUGCCACCCAGGGCCGCACAAACACACUGGGCUGUUUACCCCUCCACUCCUGCCUGGCUUUGGCUGGGGCUGCUCCCCAGGACCUCCGCUGGCGGACACCCCAGCCAGGCACACUGGCCGAGCCACACCCUCGGGAGGGCUGCUGGUGCUUACCACCGGAGGCCGUGGCUUCGCCAGGGACGUGGGUGGGCGCCGCCACCUCACACAGCAGCAGUGACCAGUCUGUGCCUCACGUUGGAUCAGGAGCUUCCCUUUCCAGAAACCUCCAUCACCUAUUUUGAAGGAAAGGACAUGCUCCGGCGACUUCAGAAACGGAAGCUUCUGGCUGGGACGUGAGAACCACGUGUUCUACGCCAAAGUCACAUCCCAACGAGGUCCUGGUGUCAUGUCCAAACCCAGGCCUGACACUGAGUGACCCUGGUGCAUUUCACACGAUAAGAAAUCCCCAAGUUUCCUGCAAGAAUCCUUAACACAGAAAGAGAAGUAGCCAGUCUCUCCGUUUUGAAACACAAAGUUAAGGACAGAACACCCACCCAGAUGAACACGUGGGUGCAAGCCGUGCCCCCACCACAGACGGGAGGCUGAGAGAGCAGCCGGAGCACCCGGCGCCGCCCCACACACCGGAUGCGCUGACCGAGGGCCCGCCCACGCUGAUGCUCACUGUGUUGGACUCGUCCGAGAUGCUGUCGCUAAGAUUACUCGCCAGCAAAUACAACAAAGGACCGAAUUGAAAAUUAAUUUAAUGCUUUGCUAAAGCUUAAUUACAUAUAAUUAUCAAACAAGUCCUAAUUUCCAAAAAGUUCCUCUUUUGAAAAUCACAGAUCAGAAGGCGUAAACUUUAAAACAAGUUCUCCGAAUACUUACAGCGUGGCAUAAACAUGGUAGAAGACCUUGGAUAUUGAAUUGCCAGGGUGUGUGGUGGACCAGCAAGGCAUGUUCUUUAUUGCAUAUGUGACGCACGCAUGUGGGGGUUCAAGUGCACAGACCACCAACUUCAAAUGCAUGCACUUGUAAGCUGGCCGGGGAGGGAAAUCGUAACGAGACGGGACAGUCAGCCCAAAACCCUGCAGCUGGACUAUGGGUCUAUUAUUUCCAAAAACGAAAACUUCCACGUGCUUUUAAAAACCUGUGCUGCGCACAGCAGUGGAGUCCACAGGAGACCCCCAGUGGGCUGCGACCCGACCCGGGGAAGGAGGCGCGCCAUGCGCCCAGGGCCGCAGCCCGUGUGCUCGCAGGGUUAAGGCAGCAGGCGACAGCGACUGCUAACUGGGAGGGAGGACGCCGGGUCACUGGCCAGCCCUUUGUUCAGCAGUGGAGCGAUGUUCCUAAGACGUUUGCUAUGGAGUAAUCCUCUGCUGUUAAAAGACUUGCUCUGUAGAAAAACCCCCGAUUUCCGGUGCGAGAGGACCUCCAUGGCGGCAGAGAGAGACGCAUACAUGACACCGCUGGGACAGUGCGCAGAGAACCAGCGGGGAGGCUGUGGGUACCAGGCACAGAAAAUGCUUCCGCGAC